UGGUGGACCAUUGCCCUCAAAGUUAAGCAUGACUAUGAGGACAAUGGUUCGAGUCCCCACGGACUCAACCUCCCUCAAUUAAAUAUAAUUGUGUGGAGAUUUCUUAUAACGUCUUUCUCCCUUGCGAAAUGCGAGUGGAGUAGAGACAUCCCUCCUCCGUGAGGGGUAUUUGGAUGGGCAUGUACUUCAUAGAAUAAAAAUGUAAUAAUAUAAGUCUCAUGUAUAUAUAUCUGAUUGUAAAUAUCAGUGUAAUGACCUGCUG
rnacentral:lncRNA from 1 species